rnacentral:rRNA from 1 species
UUGAAAGUUACUAAGAGCAUACGGUGGAUGCCUUGGGUUUGAGAGGCGAUGAAGGACGUGAUAAGCUGCGAUAAGCUCCGGGGAUUGGCACAUACAACGUGAUCCGGAGAUUUCCGAAUGGGGCAACCCUUCCCGAUGAAGUCGGGAAAUUCUGCGUAAGCAGAAAGCAAACCGGGAGAACUGAAACAUCUAAGUACCCCGAGGAAGAGAAAACAAUUUAGUGAUUUCCUGAGUAGUGGCGAGCGAAACGGAAAUAGCCCAAACCAACAAGCAUGCUUGUUGGGGUUGUAGGACUGCAAUAUUGACUUAAGAUUCCCAGUAGAAGCAUCUGGAAAGUUGCGCCAUAGACGGUGAUAGCCCCGUAAACGUAAGAAUCUUAUACAUAGCAGUAUCCUGAGUACCGCGAGGUCGGAGACGCCUUGUGGGAAUCUGCCAGCACCAUCUGGUAAGGCUAAAUACUCCUCAAACACCGAUAGCGCACUAGUACUGUGAAGGAAAGGUGAAAAGAACCGCUAACAGCGGAGUGAAAUAGAACCUGAAACCGUAUGCUUACAAGCGGUCAGAGCCCUUAUUGGGGUGAUGACGUGCCUUUUGCAUAAUGAUCCUACGAGUUACUCGUCACUGGCAAGGUUAAAUCCCUUUAGGGAUGCAGCCGCAGCGAAAGCAAGUCUGAAUAGGGCGAAAGUCAGUGGCGGUAGACGCGAAACCUUGUGAUCUACCCAUGGUCAGGAUGAAGUGGUGGUAACACACCAUGGAGGUCCGAACUGAUUAGCGUUGAAAAGCUACCGGAUGAACUGUGGGUAGGGGUGAAAGGCCAAUCAAACUGGGAGAUAGCUCGUACUCCCCGAAAUGCUUUUAGGAGCAGCGUCAAGCUUAGUUAUAUAGAGGUAAAGCUACCGAUUGGGCUAGGGGCCUUCACCGGCUACCAAACCCUGACGAACUCUGAAUGCUAUAUAAUAUACUUGGCAGUGAGGCAGCCGAUGAUAAGGUCUGUUGCCGAGAGGGAAACAACCCAGACCAUCGUCUAAGGUCCCAAAAUCUACGUUAAGUCACACAAACGAUGUCCGAUUGCUAUAACAGCCAGGAUGUUUGCUUGGAAGCAGCAAUCAUUUAAAGAGUGCGUAACAGCUCACUGGUCGAGUGAUCGGGCGCGGAAGAAUAACCGGGUGUCAAACAUAGUACCGAAGACAUGGAUUGCAGCAAUGCACUGGUAGGGGAGCAUUCCAGCAUCAACGAAGGUGAAACGUGAGUUUCGCUGGAGAAACUGGAAAAGCAAAUGUAGGAAUAAGUAACGAUAAACAAGGUGAAAAACCUUGUCGCCAUAAGCCUAAGGGUUCCUGAUCAACGUUAAUCGGAUCAGGGUUAGUCGGAUCCUAAGGACCACCCGAAAGGGGACCUCCGAUGGAAAAAAGGUUAAUAUUCCUUUACCUGGUAUACAAUAAAAGUGACGGAGAAUGCUAGUUGCAUAGACUGACGGAAUAGUCGAGCGGAACCUUCGGGCGAGGCGCAGCAAUGAAAGUUCUUCCAAGAAAUAGCGAGUAUAUCAGUCCGUACCGUAAAUCGACACAGAUGGGCGAGGAGAAUAUCCUAAGGCGCUCGGGUGAGCCGCGGCUAAGGAACUCGGCAAAAUAGUACCGUAACUUCGGGAGAAGGUACGCCCUCGUAAGAGGGCCGCAGUGAAUAGGCCCAGGCGACUGUUUAACAAAAACACAGGACUCUGCUAAAUCGUAAGAUGAUGUAUAGGGUCUGACACCUGCCCGGUGCUGGAAGGUUAAAGAAGGGGGUCAGCGCAAGCAAAGCUCCCGACUGAAGCCCCAGUAAACGGCGGCCGUAACUAUAACGGUCCUAAGGUAGCGAAAUUCCUUGUCGGGUAAGUUCCGACCUGCACGAAUGGUGUAACGAUCUGGGCACUGUCUCAGCCGCGAGCCCGGUGAAAUUGAAGUAUCGGUGAAGAUGCCGAUUACCCGCAACGGGACGGAAAGACCCCAUGCACCUUCACUACAACUUAACACUGAGUUUGAUUAAAUGAUGUGUAGGAUAGGUGGGAGACUUUGAAGUGGUGGCGCCA